AGGAUGAACGCUGGCGGCGUGCCUAAUACAUGCAAGUCGAGCGGUAAGGCUACUUCGGUAGUACACGAGCGGCGGACGGCUGAGUAACACGUAGGAACGUACCCCAAAGUGAGGCAUAAGCACCAGAAAUGGUGUCUAAUACCGCAUGUGAUCUUCGGAUUAAAGCUUCGGCGCUUUGGGAACGGCCUGCGCAUGAUUAGCUUGUUGGUGAGGUAAUAGCUCACCAAGGCGACGAUCAUUAGCUGGUCUGAGAGGAUGACCAGCCAGACUGGGACUGAGAACGGCCAGACUCCUACGGGAGGCAGCAGUAGGGAAUUUUCCACAAUGGGCGAAAGCCUGAUGGAGCAACGCCGCGUGCAGGAUGAAGGCGUCUCGGGUCGUAAACUGCUUUUAUAUGUGAAGAUUAUGACGGUAGCAUAUGAAUAAGGAUCGGCUAACUCCGUGCCAGCAGCCGCGGU
rnacentral:rRNA from 1 species